AAGCAGCAUGAUCAUCUUGCACUUGUGCAGAAAGAGUGGGCGGUGUACAACAACAUGGCUGCUGCCUGCAAAAAGACGUGUUGAUUCCAAGCUGUCUUUUGGACCCUCUCUACCAGCAAGCAAGAUGAUCAGAAUGCAUUACAGCUUUGAUUUUGCACAGCAGUUACACUUUCCGUCAAACCCUCUUCAGCCUGGGCCGAUGUAUUUCCUGACUCCACGGAAAUGUGGCCUGUUUGGUGUCCCUUGUGAAGGGCUGCAAAAACAAGUGAAUUACCUGAUUGAUGAAGGCAUGACACCUGUGAUGACCUGGCGACUUGUCCAGGGUGUACCCCGCCUCUCGCCCGUAGUCAGCUGGGAUAGGCUCCAGCUUGCCUGCGACCCUGUAGAACAGGAUAAAGUGGCUAGAGAGAUAAUGAAGGCAUGACAUCAAGUAAGGGCAGCAAUGAGGUCAUCAGCUACAUGCACCAUUUCUUCAGCAACUUCGGAGUUGGAGAAACAGAUGUCAACCUUCAUUGUGACAACUGCAGUGGGCAGAAUAAGAAUAACUUCAUGCUCUGGUACGCUGCCUGGCGGGUUGGACACAAGCUUCACAACACAAUUGGCAUCCACUUCCUUAUUGCUGGACACACCAAAUUUUCUCCUGACUGCGGCUUUGGACUAAUCAAGCAAGCUUAUAUGAAGACCAGAGUCAACACUUUGGCAGACAUAGCUAAGGUAGUGGAAAAGAGCUCUCCUGAGAAUAGGCACAUAUUCCACAGCUUGUUGGAAUGGCAGAUGGCAGAGUGUUAGUGAAGACCUUUGACUGGCAGAAGCAUCUGAGUCCCUACUUCAGAAGACUCCCACGCAUCAAGACUUAUCAGCACUUCAGCUUUGAUGCCAAGAGACCAGGUGUGAUGCUUGCGAGAACUCACUGGGAUGCAGAACCCUCCGAGUAUCAGCUGCUGCACAAUCCAGGGGUACUGCCCCCAACUGACAGUCUGCCUGUCCUCACCCACCUGGACUGAACAUUGAUAGGCAGACCUAUCUUCAGGGUGCGAUUUGUCAAAAAAUCAGAAGGGGGGAUUUUUUUUUUUUAAUCAUGAAACGUCACAAAAUUAAGGUAAUAAUAGGCUAACAGCUCAAUAACAUCCGAUGAUAUCAAAUGGAUAACACUAAAUGAAAAUGAACACUAAACCAGAGAUAGUAAAUUCAUCUUCCUAUCUCUCUGACUAAAUACACGAACACUAACACAACAAAGUUCGCAUUGCUUGUCGCGUUGCUGUGAUGUUUCUCUCCCUCCGGAUUAAAUGGACAGUGACUCAAAAAUCACUAAAAUACAUGAAUACUAAAUGAACAGUUUGCUCUGAUGGCGC